UACAGAGGUCUCAAGCGUUGUUCGGAUUCAUUGGGCGUAAAGGGUGCGUAGGCGGCGCGGUAAGUCGGGGUGUGAAAUCUCGGAGCUUAACUCCGAAACUGCAUUCGAUACUGCCGUGCUUGAGGACUGGAGAGGAGACUGGAAUUUACGGUGUAGCGGUGAAAUGCGCAGAUAUCAGGAAGAACACCCCGUGGCUAAGGCGGCUCUCUAGUACGGUACUGACGCUGAGACGCGAAAAGCGUGGGGGAGCGAAACAGGG
rnacentral:rRNA from 1 species